GACGAACGCUGGCGGCGUGCUUAACACAUGCAAGUCGAACGGAAAGGCCCUGCUUUUGUGGGGUGCUCGAGUGGCGAACGGGUGAGUAACACGUGAGUAACCUGCCCCUGACUGUGGGAUAACUUCAGGAAACUGGGGCUAAUACCGGAUAGGAGCUCCUGCUGCAUGGUGGGGGUUGGAAAGUUUCGGCGGUUGGGGAUGGACUCGCGGCUUAUCAGCUUGUUGGUGGGGUAGUGGCUUACCAAGGCUUUGACGGGUAGCCGGCCUGAGAGGGUGACCGGCCACAUUGGGACUGAGAUACGGCCCAGACUCCUACGGGAGGCAGCAGUGGGGAAUAUUGCACAAUGGGCGGAAGCCUGAUGCAGCAACGCCGCGUGCGGGAUGACGGCCUUCGGGUUGUAAACCGCUUUCGCCUGUGACGAAGCGUGAGUGACGGUAAUGGGUAAAGAAGCACCGGCUAACUACGUG
rnacentral:rRNA from 1 species